rnacentral:rRNA from 1 species
AUUGAACGCUGUCGGCAUGCCUUACACAUGCAAGUCGAACGGUAACGGGUCCUUCGGGAUGCAGACGAGUGGCGAACGGGUGAGUAAUAUAUCGGAACGUGCCCAGUAGUGGGGGAUAACUGCUCGAAAGAGCAGCUAAUACCGCAUACGACCUGAGGGUGAAAGGGGGGGAUCGCAAGACCUCUCGCUAUUGGAGCGGCCGAUAUCAGAUUAGCUAGUUGGUGGGGUAAAGGCCUACCAAGGCAACGAUCUGUAGUUGGUCUGAGAGGACGACCAGCCACACUGGGACUGAGGCACGGCCCAGACUCCUACGGGAGGCAGCAGUGGGGAAUUUUGGACAAUGGGCGCAAGCCUGAUCCAGCAAUGCCGCGUGCAGGAAGAAGGCCUUCGGGUUGUAAACUGCUUUUGUCAGGGAAGAAAUCUUCUGGGCUAAUACCCCGGGAGGAUGACGGUACCUGAAGAAUAAGCACCGGCUAACUACGUGCCAGCAGCCGCGGUAAUACGUAGGGUGCGAGCGUUAAUCGGAAUUACUGGGCGUAAAGCGUGCGCAGGCGGCUUCGCAAGACAGAUGUGAAAUCCCCGGGCUCAACCUGGGAACUGCAUUUGUGACUGCAAGGCUAGAGUACGGCAGAGGGGGAUGGAAUUCCGCGUGUAGCAGUGAAAUGCGUAGAUAUGCGGAGGAACACCAAUGGCGAAGGCAAUCCCCUGGGCCUGUACUGACGCUCAUGCACGAAAGCGUGGGGAGCAAACAGGAUUAGAUACCCUGGUAGUCCACGCCCUAAACGAUGUCAACUGGUUGUUGGACGGCUUGCUGUUCAGUAACGAAGCUAACGCGUGAAGUUGACCGCCUGGGGAGUACGGCCGCAAGGUUAAAACUCAAAGGAAUUGACGGGGACCCGCACAAGCGGUGGAUGAUGUGGUUUAAUUCGAUGCAACGCGAAAAACCUUACCUACCCUUGACAUGUCAAGAAUUCUGCAGAGAUGUGGAAGUGCUCGAAAGAGAACUUGAACACAGGUGCUGCAUGGCCGUCGUCAGCUCGUGUCGUGAGAUGUUGGGUUAAGUCCCGCAACGAGCGCAACCCUUGUCAUUAGUUGCUACGCAAGAGCACUCUAAUGAGACUGCCGGUGACAAACCGGAGGAAGGUGGGGAUGACGUCAGGUCCUCAUGGCCCUUAUGGGUAGGGCUACACACGUCAUACAAUGGCCGGUACAGAGGGCUGCCAACCCGCGAGGGGGAGCCAAUCCCAGAAAACCGGUCGUAGUCCGGAUCGUAGUCUGCAACUCGACUGCGUGAAGUCGGAAUCGCUAGUAAUCGCGGAUCAGCUUGCCGCGGUGAAUACGUUCCCGGGUCU